AUGUACAUUCCUACAAUAUAGCUUCCUAAUGCACCGGAUCCCAUUAGAACUCUAUAGUUAAGCGCGCUCAGGAUAGAGUAGUAUCAGGAUGGGUGACUGCCCUGGAAGUCCUAGUGUUUUACAUG
rfam:Picea glauca, whole genome shotgun sequence.